rnacentral:rRNA from 1 species
AGAACGAACGCUGGCGGCAUGCCUAACACAUGCAAGUCGAACGAGACCUUCGGGUCUAGUGGCGCACGGGUGCGUAACGCGUGGGAAUCUGCCCUUGGGUCCGGAAUAACAGUGAGAAAUUACUGCUAAUACCGGAUGAUGACGUAAGUCCAAAGAUUUAUCGCCCAGGGAUGAGCCCGCGUAAGAUUAGGUAGUUGGUGGGGUAAAGGCCUACCAAGCCGACGAUCUUUAGCUGGUCUGAGAGGAUGAUCAGCCACACUGGGACUGAGACACGGCCCAGACUCCUACGGGAGGCAGCAGUGGGGAAUAUUGGACAAUGGGCGAAAGCCUGAUCCAGCAAUGCCGCGUGAGUGAUGAAGGCCCUAGGGUUGUAAAGCUCUUUUACCCGGGAUGAUAAUGACAGUACCGGGAGAAGUAAGCCCCGGCUAACUCCGUGCCGAGCAGCCGC